AGCACUUUCGAUUCAAAAGUGUGAUGGCUGGGUGUUCACGCUGUUGUGUGAUAUGUGCCUCCCUCUAAACCUUGUUAAGACACAUUGUCAGUCUGAAA
ensembl:snoRNA